rnacentral:rRNA from 1 species
UGGGGAAUCUUGCGCAAUGGGCGAAAGCCUGACGCAGCCAUGCCGCGUGAAUGAUGAAGGUCUUAGGAUUGUAAAAUUCUUUCAGUAGGGACGAUAAUGACGGUACCUACAGAAGAAGCCCCGGCUAACUUCGUGCCAGCAGCCGCGGUAAUACGAAGGGGGCUAGCGUUGCUCGGAAUUACUGGGCGUAAAGGGAGCGUAGGCGGACAUUUAAGUCAGGGGUGAAAUCCCGGGGCUCAACCUCGGAAUUGCCUUUGAUACUGGGUGUCUUGAGUAUGAGAGAGGUAUGUGGAACUCCGAGUGUAGAGGUGAAAUUCGUAGAUAUUCGGAAGAACACCAGUGGCGAAGGCGACAUACUGGCUCAUUACUGACGCUGAGGCUCGAAAGCGUGGGGAGCAAA